rnacentral:rRNA from 1 species
AACGUAGGUUCCGAGCGUUAUCCGGAUUUCCUGGGCGUAAAGCGCGUUCAGGCGGUUUGGCAAGGCGGGCAUGAAAUCUCUCGGCUCAACCGGGAGAGGUUGUCCGAUACUGCUGGACUUGAGGGCAGUAGAGGGUGGUGGAAUUCCGGGUGUAGUGGUGAAAUGCGUAGAUAUCCGGAGGAACACCAGUGGCGAAGGCGGCUACCUGGCCCACUCUUGACGCUGAGGCGCGAAAGCUAGGGGAGCAAACGGG